CUAUAGAAGAUUCAUCGAUGAAUUUUCGAUGUCAAUAUCGAUAGAAAUUGAAGUUUAUCAACAGUAUUAUUUAUUAGGAUUGUCGUGCAAUAUAGAAUAAGUGAAUAGUAAACAUUCGAUAAUAAUUUUUGAAGCAAUAUAAUACGAAGCUUUCGUCCAAAAUAUUUGUCAUCAACAAUUUUAAAGAUAUUCGAAUGAAUCGACUUAAAUGAAGACCUUGAAUAACAUAACGUAACGAAUGUGAUAAUAAUAUUAUUAAGUGGAAAAUGCGAAAUCAAAAAAAGGAAAAAUAUUGGCCGUCUCGAAUCUUCGAGUCCACACUUAACGAGAGUGGUUUUUGUCGAAGCGAGUACACUCGGUAAGAUUUCAUAUAAAAUACGAGCGAUCAUAAGCGUCGUAUCGUGGCGGCUAUAAAUUCGUUUCUCCGCCACGAUUUAUUGCUCUUUCAGUUCGUUCGAAAGCCGAUCGCAAUGAGACAGGAUCGUUCCUUCGUUUCCGAAACGGAGAAUUCAUGAAGAAAGGGAGAGAAACUAAGAAAUAAAAAUCGAAACUCAAAGAAUUUUUAAAUUUCCAAAUUUUUUUUUUCAAUUUUCAAGACACGAAAUCUUCAAAUAGGAAAAAAUUUUGGAAAUUGUAAGUUUUUCUAUUUUAUAAUUUUUUAAAUUUAGAGAAAAUAAAAAUAGGAGAAAAUAAAUCAAAAACAAAAGAUAAAGGAAAGAAGGAAUAUAAAAAUUGAAAGAAUAAAUAUUCUAGUCAAGAAAAAAAGGUAUGUAAGUAUAUAUGUAUAAAGUGAAAAAGAUGGAGAGAGAAAAUAUAAAAAGAAAAUAUGAAAAGGAUAAAGAUAGUAAUAUUGCAAAAAGAAAAUAGAAAGUGAGUAGGAAAAGAUUACAUCAGAGAUGAAAUCACAUGUUGGUCCAGAAAUAAAAAAUGAAAGAAUGAAAAUAUGAUAGAAAGAAUAUAAUAUGAAAAAAUUGAGUUUUCAAAAACAAAGUUAUUGAAAAAUGAAAAAAAUAAAGAUUUAAAAAUCAUUCUUCAGGAAAAAAAUAAUGAUGCACAAAUAUAACAUAAUAGUAAAUAAAAAAAGAUAAAUAAAAUAAUAAAAAUAUAAUAUUUAAGAAAUUGAAAAAAAAAUAUAAAAGAAAGAGAAGAGAAGAAGAAAUCAAGAAGUUAAAAGUAACACAAGAAGAAAUAAAAAAAGAAAAGAGGAAAGAAGUCAAAGGAGUAAAAGCGAUCGAAAAUAAUCGAUAUCAAUAAUGUGCACAGACUCGAUGAGCAAAAAAGAAUUAUAUUUACAAUGGCAAUAACUUUCUCGUAGGAAACGAUGCAUCGUAGGAGAUCUUGUAUGAAUUGUACUUGGAGAUAAAGAAAAGUUUAUAGUAUAUAAUUACGUUUCUUGAAAUAUAGAUAGUAUAGAAAGUUCUUUGAAAGUAUUUCUUCCAUUUAAUAAUAGUCCUACGUGAUAUAGUAUAUUUGAUCUUUGAAUAGGAUAAGUCUUUGAAUCUUCGAACGCAAAAACUAUAAAAUUAUCCAAUUUUCAAUCUCGAAUUUUUUAAAUUAAAGAAUUUUAAAUUAAAUUUCAAAUUUUAGAUUUUCACAUUUUAAAAUUAAAAACUUAAUGACUUUUAAAUUCUUGAAAAAAUAUUCAAACAUAUAAAUUUCUAAAUUUUCCAAUUUUCAAUUUUCAGUUGAUCCAAAAUUUCCAAAUUUUCAAAUAUUUAAAUCUUCAAAUUUCUUUCAAGAUUUCAAAGAUAAAAAAUUUAGAAAAAUUUUUGAAAGUGGUAAAAAACGAUUUGAACUCCAUUACUUCGUUAUACUCACUUUGCAACCCUCGCAACUGGUUACACCGUAAUGAUAACCGCUCGCUUUGUCACCGCAAACUCUACAGGCCACGAAACUCUUCGCGGGCGUCGAACUGUUCGAAUCGGCAGCCGCGUAGUGUUGUUCUGGAAAACAAAACAGUUACAUUAUGUAACACGAUCGUCAUUCGUGGAAUUAGGUAAACCGUAGUACAUUAUUGCACCGUAAUACAUAUCUUUAUCUCUUCGUAGAGACGAGAAACUCCUUCGAAUAACUUCCGAUUUAACCGUGAACGUGUAAAAACUUAAAAUAAUCGAAUUUAAUAUAUCGUGCAGUUUUAAAAUCUUUAAAAUAUUUUUAUUAGAAAAUUUCAUUGGUGAUUUUACGUUAAAAGAAAAAUAAUUAUGCGAUCAUAUUAUUUAUAUCGUAUCGAUCAAUUCACGAUUUCUUUAUACUUAUAUCAUUCAAUCAUUUCUGAUAAAAUUUUACCAAUUUUUUCCAUCAACAUGUAAUGUAACUUUCAAUAUUUCUCAAACCUCUUAAGAAUUUUAACUUUCUUCAACUAUGCACAGAAUAGAUUAUACUUCGCUUAGAUUAUGGACACUAAUUUAUCAUGCAACCAUAACUUAAAUAUAAGUGCAAUUAGAGAACCGUUGAUUAUAUACCUGUUAUUACCAGAUAACUUUACCUGGAGACCAAACAUUAAUUAUACAGACCAACGAUAAUCAAUCGAACAAGAAGCAAUAAAUCUUGCCGCGUUAACAUCAUAUCUUAUUCAUUGCAAUAAUUAUUUCGUAGAAAUCCGGCAAAAAUUAUAUCACCUCCCUCGUUUCGCAAUUUUAUCUCAUCCGUCUCACAUAAUCGAAUACAGAAAAAAAAAAAAAGGAAAAGAAGCAAUUUUACAUCCUCCACUCAUCGGUUCGCCACGUUCUCCAACGAAUCAUGUCCAAUUGGUCAUAAACACGCUUCUCAAUUUCGUGUUUCCGCGCGAUUAUCUUCGAUUCGAGCGAAAUGGACGGGAUCUCGCCGGUGCCUUCCUUCUUUCUAACAAUCAAAAAACGAGCACGAAGCGCGUGAACGUAACGGCACCGCCUCUCGAUGGAAACGGUCACGCGUACUCAGGAUGGGAGAAAGGACGAGGAAAAAAGGACCAGAGUGUCGGGCUCUAGCCAAAUAGAGACGAGUUGAAACGGAGAUGACGGACAAGAUGGAAACAAGGAGAAACGGAAUGCAAAGCGACAAUCGAAUCAAGAUAGUUGACACAUUACGGUUUUCGAAAGAAUUAAUCUUCUGUGUGGGGACAGAUGACAAUGAAGGAAUAAUUGAAAUAGAUAAUAAUAAUAUUUGUAUCAUCGUUAUUUUGUCUGAUUAAUUUCAUUUGAAAUUUCAUUUGUUUCUAUGAUGAUGUAUAUUGAAUAUUAUUUGGAUUAAUAUCUUGGAUUUCUUUUGAACAGAUAUUUCAUACAUGAAAUAUGAACAAGAAAAAUAGAAUCUCACCUUAUACAAUAUCACCAAUUACAAAAUAUAAUCGUGUCUCAAAAAAAAAAAAGAAAAAUCAAGAGAUACGAAAAAAGCAGAGCAACGAAGAAGAGAAUGAAAAGAACAGGAGAAGAAGGAACGACGUCUCGUGGUUCCAUCGACGUCUCGACGAGAGGAUACACGUCGUCGGUCCACCAUGGUGGAUUUCUUCCAUUCGUCCGACGUUGCAUCCAUAAUGCAACGACGAUCGCCACCACAGGAAGGGAAAAGGCUUGCUCCUGCUGGCUGUGCACGCGGUGGUUCGUAUAACGGAAAGGCUGCGUCACCGUUACACACGGGGAACACACACCACGGCCGUGGAAAAGAGCAGGCAGACGAGGAAGGAGGGAAGGGGAGGAGAGGCGCGCGGGGAGGAGAUGAGAGAAGAAAAAGGAAGAGGAAAAAGGCGAAACGGGGCCGUCCGCAAAGGGAGUGCACAGGGAACCGUAUAGGAGUAGUCCGGAACAUUAUAGUGUAUACCGUUCGAGUCUCGUGAAAUCCUGCCAGAAGAUGUCGUUACGCGGGGGUCAGGGGGUUGGAGAGAGAUGGAAAAGUUGAUGGAAGAAAUAUGGCGGCAGGGAGAGGAUAGGCAAGCAAAAGAGAAGAGCAAGAGGAAACUGAGGGGGAUGGAUGGAAGCGUGCAGGUUGAUCGUAGUGUCUGGAAACGGGGCCCGAUCUGUGUAUACGAUUUUAUGACGGCCGUUAAAGGCUGUCGUCGAGGUUAGGUUAGGUUUGGAUAUCGAUGCCGGCUGCGAGUAGUUUUACGAGAUUUUGUUUAUUUCGAUUUUACGAAUGUUUGAAUGUAUAUUUGACAAGCUGUAGGUAAUUGAUCGUUUGAAGUGAACGGUUCCUUUUUUUGAAAACUGUUCAUAUAUGUAUUUCAAUAUUGAAAGAAAUUUGUUACCACUGUUAAAGAAAAAUUUUGUAAAUAGUUAGGAGAAGAUAUUUCUAGGUUUGAAUGAAUCAUUGAUACAGUAUGGACUUUUUCUCCUCGAUAAGAUCUUAUUAAGCUUGGAAGUAAGCGUGAAAUAAGAUGAUUUCCAAAAGAUCUGCUAUAAAAUUACAUGAGAAAUGUACAAUCUAAAAUAUAUUUAAUGAAACUUUCAAUAAAAAAAAUAGAAUUGUCUAAAUAGAAUUAAAUUAGAAUCCAAAGUUGAUUUUCUCGUGAAAAUAAUUCAGUUAAAAAUGGCUCAUGUUUUUUAUUAGACCAAGCACGGUAAAUAAUAUUCUCGAUCGAAAAUAAUCCGAUCAAACAACUCGAGUUAUUUUAGACAUCUCCAAAUUAAAUUUUGAAAUUAAAUUUGGUUAAAACGACGAGAAUACUCUUAAUAUUAUUUAUUUUCUUUUGUUGUCGAAUAGAAACACCCUCGAGUUAAUAAAACCAAUUUAUGUAGUUGAAAGGCCGAACAAUCAGCCAACUCUGCUAAUCAGAGAUUUAUUCUUAAACAGUGAAACAUACGCGCAAGGUUCGCAUGUUCGCACACCGAUACAUUGUAAUUUAUCGCGGUCCCGGACGGUCUGUAAUUUCCAGGGACGAAGGCGGAAGUGAGCGCGUAAUGAUGUACACAGCAACUGCUCCAUGGUUGAACCGAAGUUUUUCGGUGUUUCUUCAUGGGAAUUCGUUAAGGUAUACCGUAUUAAACGACGCCUUAAACGGUGGUGCACGAAUAAAUUUUCCCGCGUUCCAAACUUUUUCUCCCCGACUCUCGUUUCCGUCUUGGAACACAACUGAGAGUUCCAUGUAUGCAAAUUAGACAGAAAAUGAUACGAACGUUCUCUUCCAUCGUAAUUACUAUUGUAUUCGUACUUUCGUCCAAAUAUUAUUCAAAAUAGAUAAAAUUAUAUUAAUUAUCCGAAAUAUUCAAAAUAAAUCUAUUCGUUACAAAAUUAUAUUAUCAAUAAAUAUUAAACUCUCCGUUACAUCUUUUUUUUUCAACUCUAAAAAAAAACACGUUCGCAAUAUUAAGCAUUUCGGCCAAUAAUUUUUCGUGGAUCGCCAUCUUGCCUCUCGAGAUUUUCACUUCGAUGUACCAAGUGAAAUAUCCUCGGCUAUUCGCUGCCACGUACAUUGCGUCCAUCAAUACGAGGUAUACUCCCGCGAGGAGAAAGUUGGUUCGACCGAGCGGAAUUUAUAAGCAGAAAUAGAAAUUGUGCCUCUGUUCUUGUGGAAUAUCACCGUGGCCCUGUUCGUAAGUGAAAUGUUAAGCGCUCUAUGAUUACGGACAGAAUAUACGGCCAACUAUAAAAGAUUUACACCCGCGAUACUCGGUUCAAACUAUUCGGUAUCUCUCUCGGCAAAGCGAGAAAGUCGAGGCGAAAACGAGAGAACCGCGGAUAAGAAGUUGCAUAGAUGUAUAUCGAUUGCAACCGCUUCGAGGAAGAAACUUAUCUUCGAUAUCUCUUUAUUUAACGUGGGACGUUAUAUAAUGGAAGAAACGUGUCUGCGUUUCAUAUUUUAUGACAUUUUGUUUAGGAGGAAGAGUUGAAUUUUUCGCGACGCGUAAUAAUGGGUUAUCCAUCGGAUUGUCAUUCCAUUGACGAUAUUUUCGUAUUGUGCGUUUUUAUUUUUAUUUCUUUUGUAUAAAUUCUUUAUAUGGUUAGAGUUAGGUGAUGUAUAUUCAUCUGAGGAUGAAACAAUUAGAUUUUAAUUAUCGAAUAUAUCGAUUGACCACAAUUAAAAUAACUUUCAUACAUACGAUUGAAUAAAAAAUAUUAUUCGUGCGAUGAAUUAACUGAUAAAAAGGAAACAAUAGAAAAUCGGUAGAUAUACUCAUAAAAAAUAAUAAAAUUGUUAUUAAAGCGAAAUUAAAUCGAUUUCGAUGCAAUUCAAAGCUAAUUAAUUAUUCAAUCUAUCUCUUUUGUACGGUGUGCACCAAACAAUUUAUAAUUAAAUAAUUCGAAACGAAAUAAACAACGGAUCACCACUCGAAAAGCCGACAACUUAGUUAAAGCAAAUUGUUUGUCUUCCUUCUCACGUUGCAUCUGCGAAUCUGGGGGAUCGCUGUGUUUUCAACGUCAACAGUUGAAAAACGGAAAACACGAAGCUCCGUUAGUCCGUUUCCGUUCUUCUCGAGGCAAAAACUUCCACCGAUGCAACGGGGACGAGCAAAUGUUCUGACUUCUUUCGCAGUUUACCUGCUGUGAUUGGAUGUUAGGUGAAAUUUAUCGUUUAUUUUAUAACGAAUAAUCUUGGAAAUAACGCUUGGUGCAUUGAUUGCAAUCUCUCGUCUUAAGCUUCUCGGCUAUCGUGUUUCACUUGUAAUAAUUGAAGAUUGUGAGAAGAUGUUCGUGGAUGCAAUAAGAUAAAUUAGUCUGUCUCUUAGUUCGUAGUUUCUUAGUUCAAAGUUAUAGAUUAAUGUUAUACCUUACCAUAUCUAUUGAUGUUUGACUAUCCAUCAAAUUUAAUUAGAGAAAAUAACAUUUAAAUAACAUAUACUAUGUAAAUGAAAAUUUAAAAUUAUUUUUUAAUCCAAUAAUUUUUCAAAUUAUAAAUUAUAAGUUUAACAACUUUUUGUUUAUGAAAAAUUUCCAAAUUGUCGAAGAAACAAACUUGAUUUUUAUAAAUCCUUUAUUAUGCAUCUAUCAAAAAAUUAAUAAAAACAAAAUGUAUCAUUACAAAAUCAUUCAAAUUGUUUGAAUCAUCUUUAAUUUCUAUUUAAACUUUGUAUGUUUUUCAUUAAUUAUAAUAAAAUUAUUAAUAAUAAAAAAAUGAAUAUAUUUAUAUUAUAUACUAUGUAUAUACGUUUUUCUAUUAUAAAAGAAAAAUUAAAUAUUCUGCUAUCUAAUAUAUAUUUGAAAAAAGAAAAAAAAACAUGUUUCAAAUUGAAAUUUUUAAAGAGGUGCUGGUGUCGGGUCAUUCAAUGAUUUUUGUCGAUCGUUCAAGCGAAAUAUUAUUUUCCUCGACAAAUAUCAAUCCAAAGAGUUUCCUUUUGUCGAGGACAUGAUACGUUUUCGUGAGAGAUACUUGCAUAUAUUGAAAAGCGCUUUGAGCUGGGAUCCUGCACAAAAUCUCGCACGAAAAUAAGCCAGAACAAAGUAAGCCCUUCUCUGUUCUCGCUUCUUCCGCGCCUUCAUCCGCCGUUUCAUUUUCUCUUCUUAUUUCGUUCACGAUCUCCGGUUUGCUCGAACUAGGUCGAUAUGCUACGUAUAAUCAACAAACUUCAUUUUUGAACGAGACUAGUUGUCGUACUUAUAUUUUCUGGAAGGAAAAAGAAGCUUCCUUGUUUAGUUGAUAGUUAAUAAGGAUUGAGUUUU